AAGGAUCAUUACCUUAUACCAUCGGAGGGCCGGCUAUGGACUGCGGAUCCUUAGGGAACGCUUCCGUGCCCGCCCUGUCUGAUUCUACCCAUGAUUUUUGCGUACUCAUUGUUUCCUCGGUAGGCUUGCCUGCCGAUAGGACAUUAUACAACCCUUUGUAAUUGCAGUCAGCGUCAGAAAAAAUUUAAUAGUUACAACUUUCAACAACGGAUCUCUUGGUUCUG
rnacentral:misc_RNA from 1 species